rnacentral:rRNA from 1 species
CCUACGGGAGGCAGCAGUGGGGAAUCUUGCGCAAUGGGCGAAAGCCUGACGCAGCAACGCCGCGUGCGGGAAGAAGGCUUUCGGGCUGUAAACCGCUUUCAGCAGGAACGAAAAUGACGGUACCUGCAGAAGAAGGAGCGGCCAACUAUGUGCCAGCAGCCGCGGUGAUACAUAGGCUUCAAGCGUUGUCCGGAUUUAUUGGGCGUAAAGAGUUCGUAGGCGGUCGAGUAAGUCGGGUGUGAAAAUUCUGGGCUCAACCCCAGAGACGCCACCCGAUACUGCUUAACUUGAGUUCGAUAGGGGAGUGGGGAAUUCCUAGUGUAGCGGUGAAAUGCGCAGAUAUUAGGAGGAACACCGGUGGCGAAGGCGCCACUCUGGAUCGAUACUGACGCUGAGGAACGAAAGCAUGGGUAGCAAACAGGAUUAGAUACCCUGGUAGUCCAUGCCGUAAACGGUGGGCACUAGGUGUGGGAUUCUAUUAACGAAUUCCGCGCCGUCGCUAACGCAUUAAGUGCCCCGCCUGGGGAGUACGGUCGCAAGCUAAAACUCAAAUGAAAUUGACGGCUGAGACGNGCGAGACGACGACGAGGAGAG